CACGUAGGGCGCGAGCGUUGUCCGGAAUUAUUGGGCGUAGAGAGCUCGUAGGCGGCCUGUUGCGUCCGCUGUGAAAGCCCGGGGCUUAACCCCGGGUCUGCAGUGGAUACGGGCAGGCUAGAGGUAGGUAGGGGAGAAUGGAAUUCCCGGUGUAGCGGUGAAAUGCGCAGAUAUCGGGAGGAACACCGGUGGCGAAGGCGGUUCUCUGGGCCUUACCUGACGCUGAGGAGCGAAAGCGUGGGGAGCGAACAGG
rnacentral:rRNA from 1 species